rnacentral:rRNA from 1 species
GUCGAACGCUUCUUUUUCCACCGGAGCUUGCUCCACCGGAAAAAGAGGAGUGGCGAACGGGUGAGUAACACGUGGGUAACCUGCCCAUCAGAAGGGGAUAACACUUGGAAACAGGUGCUAAUACCGUAUAACAAUCGAAACCGCAUGGUUUUGAUUUGAAAGGCGCUUUCGGGUGUCGCUGAUGGAUGGACCCGCGGUGCAUUAGCUAGUUGGUGAGGUAACGGCUCACCAAGGCGACGAUGCAUAGCCGACCUGAGAGGGUGAUCGGCCACAUUGGGACUGAGACACGGCCCAAACUCCUACGGGAGGCAGCAGUAGGGAAUCUUCGGCAAUGGACGAAAGUCUGACCGAGCAACGCCGCGUGAGUGAAGAAGGUUUUCGGAUCGUAAAACUCUGUUGUUAGAGAAGAACAAGGAUGAGAGUAACUGUUCAUCCCUUGACGGUAUCUAACCAGAAAGCCACGGCUAACUACGUGCCAGCAGCCGCGGUAAUACGUAGGUGGCAAGCGUUGUCCGGAUUUAUUGGGCGUAAAGCGAGCGCAGGCGGUUUCUUAAGUCUGAUGUGAAAGCCCCCGGCUCAACCGGGGAGGGUCAUUGGAAACUGGGAGACUUGAGUGCAGAAGAGGAGAGUGGAAUUCCAUGUGUAGCGGUGAAAUGCGUAGAUAUAUGGAGGAACACCAGUGGCGAAGGCGGCUCUCUGGUCUGUAACUGACGCUGAGGCUCGAAAGCGUGGGGAGCAAACAGGAUUAGAUACCCUGGUAGUCCACGCCGUAAACGAUGAGUGCUAAGUGUUGGAGGGUUUCCGCCCUUCAGUGCUGCAGCUAACGCAUUAAGCACUCCGCCUG